rnacentral:rRNA from 1 species
UACGGAGGAGGCAAGCGUUAUCCGGAAUUAUUGGGCGUAAAGCGUCCGCAGAUGGCUAUUCAAGUCUGCGGUCAAAGACUGGGGCUUAACCCUGGAAAGGCCGUGGAAACUGAAGAGCUAGAGUGCAGUAGGGGUAGAGGGAAUUCCCGGUGUAGCGGUGAAAUGCGUAGAGCUCGGGAAGAACAUCGGUGGCGAAAGCGCUCUGCUGGACUGCAACUGACACUCAGGGACGAAAGCUAGGGGAGCGAAUGGG